CAGUAGCCACGGGAAUACGUAGGUGGCGAGCGUUGUCCGGAAUCAUUGGGCGUAAAGGGAGCGCAGGCGGGCAUGUAAGUCUUUCUUAAAAGUUCGGGGCUCAACCCCGUGAUGGGAAAGAAACUACAUGUCUUGAGUACAGGAGAGGAAAGCGGAAUUCCCAGUGUAGCGGUGAAAUGCGUAGAUAUUGGGAGGAACACCAGUGGCGAAGGCGGCUUUCUGGACUGCAACUGACGCUGAGGCUCGAAAGCCAGGGGAGCGAACGGGAUUAGAUACCCGUGUAGUCCCUGUCUCUUAUACA
rnacentral:rRNA from 1 species